UGGCGGACGGGUGAGUAAUGUCUGGGAAACUGCCUGAUGGAGGGGGAUAACUACUGGAAACGGUAGCUAAUACCGCAUAACGUCGCAAGACCAAAGAGGGGGACCUUCGGGCCUCUUGCCAUCGGAUGUGCCCAGAUGGGAUUAGCUAGUAGGUGGGGUAACGGCUCACCUAGGCGACGAUCCCUAGCUGGUCUGAGAGGAUGACCAGCCACACUGGAACUGAGACACGGCCCAGACUCCUACGGGAGGCAGCAUG
rnacentral:rRNA from 1 species